CAGUCGAGGGGCAGCAUUUCAGUUUGCUUGCAAACUGGAGAUGGCGACCGGCGCACGGGUGAGUAACACGUAUCCAACCUGCCGAUAACUCGGGGAUAGCCUUUCGAAAGAAAGAUUAAUACCCGAUAGUAUAAUGAAACCGCAUGGUCUUAUUAUUAAAGAAUUUCGGUUAUCGAUGGGGAUGCGUUCCAUUAGGCAGUUGGUGAGGUAACGGCUCACCAAACCUUCGAUGGAUAGGGGUUCUGAGAGGAAGGUCCCCCACAUUGGAACUGAGACACGGUCCAAACUCCUACGGGAGGCAGCAGUGAGGAAUAUUGGUCAAUGGGCGCAGGCCUGAACCAGCCAAGUAGCGUGAAGGAUGACUGCCCUAUGGGUUGUAAACUUCUUUUAUAUGGGAAUAAAGUUUUCCACGUGUGGAAUUUUGUAUGUACCAUAUGAAUAAGGAUCGGCUAACUCCGUGCCAGCAGCCGCGGUAAUACGGAGGAUCCGAGCGUUAUCCGGAUUUAUUGGGUUUAAAGGGAGCGUAGGUGGACAGUUAAGUCAGUUGUGAAAGUUUGCGGCUCAACCGUAAAAUUGCAGUUGAUACUGGCUGUCUUGAGUACAGUAGAGGUGGGCGGAAUUCGUGGUGUAGCGGUGAAAUGCUUAGAUAUCACGAAGAACUCCGAUUGCGAAGGCAGCUCACUGGACUGCAACUGACACUGAUGCUCGAAAGUGUGGGUAUCA
rnacentral:rRNA from 1 species